rnacentral:rRNA from 1 species
GGGAGCAGCCAUAUCACACUGGUCUCUAAUCUCAUUAGGUUUCACAAGCUAAGCAGGGUUGGUCCUUGUCAGUUCUUGGAUGGGAGACCUUCCAAAGUGUAAACGAAAGGUUCUUU